rnacentral:tRNA from 1 species
GGGCACGUAGCUCAGCGGAUAGAGCACCAGAUUCCGGUUCUGGGUGUCGGGGGUUCGAGUCCUCCCGUGCCCG